rnacentral:misc_RNA from 1 species
CGCAGCGCCACCAAGCGAAUAUCACCACAAAUCUAAACAUGGGAUUCGAAUUUCAAAAGUGCCUCGUUUGAAAAACGAACGGAACCAACGGCUGGUUCGGUGAAGUGUUUAUUUUUUUUGUUUGUUUUUUUUUUAUUUUUUUUUCUGAAUUUUUCAUGCCAGCAGCGGCAGUGCGGCAGUGGCGUGCCGAUUUUGUUGGACCUGGCACUAAGCACAUUUGACACAGAUGUACCAUUAGCCUUCUGAACCUUUCGGGCCAAGAGGUGCCCAGCGUCCUACACCUAUAUCAUAACGGUUCACCAAGCCAGCGAUGUCGCCCCAAGCCAGCUUCAGUAGACUGGAACGCGACUACAUCGCUGUAAUGUGGAGAAGAGGCCAGAGUCGCUCGCCGUAGCGUAUCUACUGACUGGUGUGGGGAGCGGGGCAGUCGCAAAGAUGAAUCUCCUCAACAUGGACGCGGAGAACCGCGUCGUUCUAAACGUAGGAGGGAUUCGCCACGAGACGUACAAGGCGACAUUAAAGAAAAUCCCGGCCACGCGGCUCUCAAGGCUGACGGAGGCGCUCGCCAACUACGACCCUGUGCUCAACGAGUACUUCUUCGACAGGCACCCUGGGGUCUUCGCGCAGGUCCUCAACUAUUACAGGACUGGCAAACUCCACUAUCCGACGGACGUGUGCGGUCCUCUGUUUGAGGAAGAACUGGAGUUUUGGGGUCUCGACGCCAACCAGGUCGAGCCUUGUUGCUGGAUGACUUACACCCAGCAUCGCGACACCCAAGAGACCCUGGCCGUCCUGGACCGCCUAGACCUGGAUACGGAGAAGCCUUCUGACGAGGAAGUGGCUCGGAAGUUCGGCUUCGAAGAAGACUACUACAAGGGCACAGUGUCGUGGUGGCAGCAGCUGAAACCUCAGAUGUGGUCGUUGUUUGAUGAGCCUUAUAGUUCCAAUGCUGCGAAGAUAAUCGGGGUGAUAUCAGUGUUUUUCAUAUGCGUGUCCAUAAUAUCGUUCUGUUUGAAAACGCACCCGGACAUGAGAGUGCCAGUGAUCAGAAACUAUACAGUGACGACAGCGAACCAGACGCCGAGUUGGGCGUUAGACAAAGUGCAAACAAACGCUCAUAUAGCGUUCUUUUAUAUCGAAUGUGUGUGCAACGCGUGGUUUACAUUAGAAAUCUUAGUGAGAUUCAUAUCAUCGCCUAACAAGUGCGAAUUCGUCAAGUCCUCCGUAAACAUCAUCGAUUACAUUGCAACGAUGAGCUUCUACAUCGACUUGAUUCUCCAAAAAUACGCUUCUCAUGUCGAGAACGCUGAUAUUUUGGAGUUCUUCUCCAUCAUCAGGAUUAUGAGGCUCUUCAAGUUGACGAGACACUCGUCGGGCCUCAAGAUUUUGAUCCAGACUUUUAGGGCGUCUGCUAAAGAGUUGACGCUUUUAGUCUUUUUCUUAGUUUUGGGUAUAGUUAUAUUUGCCAGUUUGGUGUAUUAUGCUGAGAGAAUACAAACAAACCCACAUAACGACUUCAACAGUAUACCUUUGGGUUUGUGGUGGGCCCUAGUUACUAUGACCACUGUGGGGUAUGGUGAUAUGGCCCCAAAAACAUAUGUUGGGAUGUUUGUUGGAGCGUUAUGUGCUUUAGCUGGGGUAUUAACAAUAGCCCUUCCAGUACCCGUCAUAGUAUCAAACUUUGCUAUGUAUUAUUCUCAUACACAAGCAAGGGCUAAAUUGCCUAAAAAACGACGCAGAGUCAUCAACGUCGAGCCAACUAGGCCACCCAUGCGUGCACCGGGAGUUCCAGGGGCGCCCGGGACUGGGGGUCCUUUAACAGCUGGCAUGGGACCCCAAGCCGUAAACCGUAGGAUGAACGCAAUUAAAACAAACCAUCCCAAAGAUAUGAUGGGACCUAACAUGGAUGGUGAUCGUAGCGAGCUUGAAGCUAUGAUCCAAACAACACCAAACAACUGCAAAAGAAAAAAUUUAAACAUGCUUUAGAACGAACACACAUACGAUGCCGUUGGCUCCCGACUGGGCUUUAUAUAUCGCCUGCACCCACGGAUUUAGUUUACAGGAAUGCUACUAAAUCUUUAGUCACUAAUAAAUCAUCGAUAUCAUUAUCAUCAUUGCACAUGGCAAUAUCUUCAAGCAGCACUAGAGGAGCCGCCAUAGGUCCUAUCGCUUCGCGGGCAUCAGAAGUUGCUACGCUGAUGCCGGGAAUGGACAUAUCAGUUGCCACAAGAUUAACCCCAAGCCCUCGAGACAUGAGUCCAGCUUUA